rnacentral:lncRNA from 1 species
CCCCUUUCACUUGGCUCUCGUUCUUUCUUGCCUGCCACAGUGUAAGAUACGCCUUUCUCCUUCUACCAUGAGUGUGAGGCCUCCACAGCCACAUGGAACUGUCCCCGCAUCAGAGGAACACAUUGUUUUCUUGGGAAGCCUUCAAGAGACAGUCAUGCAUGGUUUCCUGGUUGAAGGAUUAAUUAUCUGCUACCUGAUCUAAAGUUGAUAAAUGAAAAACAUCAGUAUUAACACAUGACAUGGAAAAAACACCAGAGGAGAAAAAACCACCAAAGGAAGAAAAACAAAAACUGUGAACAGUGAUGUCUCACCGGGGGUGGGAGCACAGCAGCAGACAUUUGUCAAAACUCACCCAACUCUAUAAUUUAAAUGUGUACAUUUUAUGGUAUAUAAAUGAUUCCUCAAUAAAGUUGAUUAAUCCAAAUAUAGUGGCCUUCAGAGAUGGCAGGGGUGAGUGAGAAGCCACUUUUUAUUGUUUGAUUUUGUUUAAAUAUGGAUUUUUACUUUAACAAUGUUUUUUAAAUUUAUAUUUAAAACGAUAUUAAAAAACAGAGUUUAGGCCUGGCAUGGUGGCUUACGCCCGUAAUCC